GGGUGAAUUAGUUUGUAAGAUUAAUGUAUAAGAAACUAUAGCAUUAAGAUACAUAAUUAUAAAUUGUUAACACUCAUUUAAAUUUAGAGUUUGAUCGCUUGGUAAGUGGGACUUGUUAAAUAAUGGGUAGCCAAACAAGCAAGAAAGCCAAGAGACCCGAGGCAAAAGAGUUUCCUGUGAAACUGAAAAAGGCAACUUCAAGGAGGAUUCAGGAAAUCCAGAAACAGCAAGCUGCUUGGGGACCCGCUGGUUCCUUCUGGAUCACCUGCCCAUAAGGUUUGGCUGGAAACAGGAGACAGCAGAGUACUUUGAAGAAUGCCAGAAUUGUAGUGACAGAUCAAGAGUCGUCAGAUACACAGGGGAAAUGUGAGGAUGCUACUUACAUUCUUUUCUUUGGAAGGAUGACAAGGCCACUUGGGACUGCCUUCUCUAAUAUGAGCCCCACCUCAAUAGAUGCAGCUGCCCUGCAGCAAGUUGAGGCAAGACCAAAUACAUACAGAAUGCCCUACAGUCAUUCUGUGACCGCCUUGAGCCAGCACUCAAGAGAUGACCCCAGAGUGGUAAAUUAUGCCUACAGCUGCAGAACUGAACACAAUAAAUUUCACAUCACAGUCUGCUGUAACUAUUUUUGGGCCUCAAGAAAGUUGUGAUAAUUGUGUUUUUUAAGGUAAAAAAUGUGACCUAUCAUUUUUGCUUCUAAUGUUUUGUAAAAGAUCUCUCUAAGUAUAAAUAAUUGUGAAUGUCAUCAUAUAUUAUUUAUCAUAUGUGCAAAAUAAUAAUUUUGAACAUCAUGAAUAAUUUCCUUUGUACUACGAGAUCAAUUACAUUUUGUUAUUACUUAAAUUCCUUUUCUCUCUCAUGCACUGUGUCAUACACAUAAAACAUGCAGCUAUCAUGUAAGAAAAAUAAUUAAAUAUUAAUUAGUAAGAAAAAGAAUUAAAAUUAA